UCAGAGAAACCUAUACGGAGAUGUGAUGCUGGAGAACUACAAGAACCUGACUACAGUAUGGUAUUAGUGUUCGAACCCAAUCUGAUUUCUUGGUUGGAACAAGAAGAAAAGUUGAGGACAGUGGAGAGAGGAGUCUUCCAAAAAUGGGAAAUGCAACUUAAAACCAAAGACUCAGCAAUUCCUCUGCAGGGUAUUUUAGGGGAAAAAACAUCCAAUAGGAUAGAAAU